rnacentral:rRNA from 1 species
AGUGAACGUUGGCGGCGUAGAUUAGGCAUGCAAGUCGAGCGAGAACCGUAGCAAUACGGGGACAGCGGCGAAAGGGACAGUAAUGUGUAGGUACCUACCCCGAGGUCUGGGAUAGCUGCGGGAAACUGCAGGUAAUACCGGAUAAUGUCUUCGGACCAAAGGUGUGAUUCCACCUUGGGAGGGGCCUGCAUCCUAUUAGCUAGUUGGGGAGGUAACGGCUCACCAAGGCGACGAUGGGUAGCGGGUGUGAGAGCACGACCCGCGUCAUUGGGACUGAGACACUGCCCAGACACCUACGGGUGGCUGCAGUCGAGGAUCUUCGGCAAUGGGCGAAAGCCUGACCGAGCGACGCCGCGUGUGGGAUGAAGGCCUUCGGGUUGUAAACCACUGUCGUAGAGGAGGAAAUGCAGGGGGGUUCUCCCUUCUGUUUGACCUAUUCUAGGAGGAAGUACGGGCUAAGUUCGUGCCAGCAGCCGCAGUAA